rnacentral:rRNA from 1 species
ACGUGGGGAGACAAACAGGAAUUAGAUACCCUGGUAGUCCCCGCCCGUAAACGAUGUCUACUUGGAGGUUGUGGCCCUGAGCCGUGGCUUUUGGAGCUAACGCGUUAAGUAGACCGCCUGGGGAGUACGGUCGCAAGAUUAAAACUCAAAUGAAUUGACGGGGGCCCGCACAAGCGGUGGAGCAUGUGGUUUAAUUCGAUGCAACGCGAAGAACCUUACCUACUCUUGACAUCUACAGAAGCCAGCGGAGACGCAGGUGUGCCUUCGGGAACUGUAAGACAGGUGCUGCAUGGCUGUCGUCAGCUCGUGUUGUGAAAUGUUGGGUUAAGUCCCGCAACGAGCGCAACCCUUAUCCUUGUUUGCCAGCACUUCGGGUGGGAACUCCAGGGAGACUGCCGGUGAUAAACCGGAGGAAGGUGGGGACGACGUCAAGUCAUCAUGGCCCUUACGAGUAGGGCUACACACGUGCUACAAUGGCGCAUACAGAGGGCGGCCAACUUGCGAAAGUGAGCGAAUCCCAAAAAGUGCGUCGUAGUCCGGAUUGGAGUCUGCAACUCGACUCCAUGAAGUCGGAAUCGCUAGUAAUCGUGGAUCAGAAUGCCACGGUGAAUACGUUCCCGGGCCUUGUACACACCGCCCGUCACACCAUGGGAGUGGGCUGCAAAAGAAGUGGGUAGUUUAACCUUCGGGAGGACGCUCACCACUUUGUGGUUCAUGACUGGGGUGAAGUCGUAACAAGGUAACCG